CUCCUGCUCCUUCUUGUGUCUCAUGACAGAACCUCAGGGCUUCAGUCAUGACAGAUGUCUCUUCUGCUCAUACAAACGCUAAGUGAAGUUUCCUGCCUUGAAGAGAUUGUGAUCUAAUAGAAGGCAAUGCAGCAACGGCAGCAGAGAAAGAAGAAAAGGGAAAGAAGCACACUGAGAGCAUGAGAAAAGCACAUGGUGGCUUAGUUGGAUGAUUAGAUGCUUUUAAAAGGCCAUAACCUACAGUAUCCAGAUGAGAAAGAAGAAAUGCUGAAAAGAUUUGUGUUACUUCAAUUGCAGUCCAAAAGGGCUAGCCAGGUUGAGCUCUCUGUAAAAAUUGAGAGUUUUAAAAGCUUAACAUAGAAAUUGGAGGAGGAAGAAGGUCCUGAGGCACUGCUGAGAGAGUUCUGAGCUUGGGGAAAUGCUGCUUUACCUGUUCUCAGCUUCUAAGAUCUUGUGCCACAGUUGCAAGACCAAUAAGAAAGGAAACAAAACUCAGCACUUGCACAUUGCUUCUCUCUUUUGCCCAAUUCCUAAAGUCCCAAAGUGUCUUUCAAACUGCACAGAGGAGACUUGUAGCCAUGAUUCUAUGGAGACAAAGCUACACCAGAGAGGAGAAAACUUGCAGCACAUCCAGGAGCUCUGCCCUGCUGGCCUCUCUACAGGCUCAAAUGCUCAUGCAGGGAAGGAUGGCUCCCCAGGAGGAGGAGGAGAAUGGCUAAAGCCAUACAAAGGAGAGGGAGGUUUAGAGCUCCUGAAUGCAUCCUGGUCUCUGCUUCUCAUGCUAAGAAGCAAUUGAAAUAUUAAAGGUAAUAAAACAUGAU
rnacentral:lncRNA from 1 species